UGCUCCUCCCUCGCCCUGCCCCACUCCACCCAUCCCCAUUCCACUCUUCCUCAGCCCAAACACUGAUCUAUUUUAGUCUGCAUUUUCUAGAGUCGUCCGUAAAUGGAAUCAUCCCAUAGGUACUUGAUUUUGUCUGGCUUCUUUCAUUCAGCAUAGUUACUUUGACAUGCCUGAGUGUUUUUGCAAGCAACAACCAUUCAUACCUCGCUAGUGCUGAGCAGUAUUCCAUUAUGGCUAUACCACGGUGCGUUUAUCUAAUCACCACUUGAUUUAGGCUGCUUUCAGUUUUUCCUGACCAGAACUACAGCUGCUAGGAACAUUCCUGUGCAAAUCUUUGUACAGACAUAUACGGAUUUUCUUCUCUGGGGUAAAUACCUGGAAAUGGAAUGCCUAGGUCAUAAGACACAAGGUUUCACCAUGUUGCCUAGGCUGGUCUCAAACUCCUGGGCUCACAUGAUCCACCUGCCUUGGCCUCCCAACGUGCUGGAUUUACAGGGGACACCUGCAGUCUUGAAAGGCAAGGAGAAUGGACAUUACUCUCUAAAACCCCAGUCUCACCAUGAUGUAUACAUACAUGAUAAACUUUCAAGCCUCUACUACUAUUACUUAAGAAAACGUCUGCAUGGAAAUUCUAUCCCCAACUGAACCUGAACCGAAGCCUGCAGAUGAGGGCCAGGCUCCCCAGCUUCCCGGAACAAGCAGACAGUUAUUAAUGGAAAUGCUCUCGCUACUCAGAUCCUUAGGCUCUCAUGCAGUGGAAAUUGACAGGAGGCUGAGAAAGUUUCCCAGACAGGCUUUACUGGGGCUGAUGCUCAAGCACAAGGCAGAUUCAACGUGGGAGCAAGAAUUCUCCAGCUGGCUUCCGGAGGGCAGAUCUUUGCAGUGUUUUAAGAAGGAUGAUAUGAAGAUCAUGAGUUAUGUGAGUAUCUUUCCACGUAUAAGGUAGAGCAAGGCGGUUCAGGUGCAGUGAGAAAUCGUGUUGGUACAUACAUUGCAUGAUCAAAAAAUGACAGAUCAGCCCCUCCUGGGGAUUUUAGUAGUAUAAUAAGGCAAAUGGUCAGGAUUAGUUAUUCUCCUGGUCCUAUGAGCAUGCAGAUGAUUGAGGUUCACUCCCUGGGGUAAGAUGUCUGGUGGAAUGCUGCUUAUUUUAGUUUUCCCAUGUAGUAUGCAAGGCCUCAUGGUCAGCAGGUAUAUAUGGAAGAAAUACAUUAGUGGGGUUGGUGCCAAGUCCUGUCCCUGCUCUGUCUAACCAGGGAAUGGCAUGAAUGCACUGAGGAUGAUGACACUUAAUCAGGGGCGUUCUCUGUGUCAGGAACCAUUUCCACUGCUUUAUGUUCAUUCAUCCUCUUAAUUCUCAAGCAAUCACAUGAAGAGGAAGCUAUCAUCAUUGCCAUUUUCCAGGCAAAGAAACUGAGGACCAGGGAGUGACUUGCCUGAGUCCACUCGUUUAGUAGCAGAGCUGGAAUUGGAACUGGGUAGUUCUGGGCUGGCGUGUCCGCUGAAACCACUGCACAUCCUCCUCUCAUCAUGGUGCUUCUGGAGGGUCUUUUUCAAUUUUCCUCACAUCUAUAUGUAGAAGCUUUUUAAAAAGUUUCUUUUAAGUAUCUUUCGGGACAUUAUGCUAAUUAUAAUGUGCUAACAAUUUACAUCUGUAAUUAUGUAUGAGGCUAGGGAGUGAGUGACUCUGUAGCUUGGAAGGAGAUGAUUCAGUUAUUAGUUAUCAUGAAAACCACAUUGUCAAGUCUGAAGAAAAGCAGUAGUAUACCACCAGGUACUGGUGCCCAAAGGAAACCCAUCGUCUAAAUAGCUUCAAGGCCCAGGGAUUUUAGUGCUUAUUCCAGUGGCAUAAGAACAUAAAGGCAAGGAGGUAAGGCAACCUACUCAAGUGUGUCCCCAAAACUUUUCAUUUUGUUGUUUCACAAACAACAAAACUGAAAUGACAGUGCCUUCAAGCCAAUGGCAUCUUGCAGCCAAGUCAUUUGGUAUAACAUGGAUCCCAAAUUUUCCA
ensembl:lncRNA